rnacentral:lncRNA from 1 species
CUUCUCCACAUGUAUUUAGUAAAAAGCUUUAGCCAUCUGAGCAGGUAAACUUAAUCAUUCCAACUACCAGAAACACAAUUUGGAUCUAACUGUUCUUUUAUAAACAGAUUUAAGGAAAUCUUUUCUCUUAAGCUAUCUCUGUAUUACAGCAAUAUGGUAAAGUAUACUUUCUGAACAAAGAUGAAACAGUUGAAAUGCCGUAUUAACUACCUGAUUGCUCAUACCAUGCGGACCUAACUUUGGGAGCCCACUUGCAUUACUGCCUCAUGAAAUGAGGCAAACUGUUUAACUGAACCAUUCUGCAUUUAACUACAAACUAUUUAACUUACCUAUUGUCAAGAUUAAGAGACUGGUUCA